AAUCAACGCUGGCGGCGUGCCUAACACAUGCAAGUCGAACGAGAAAGUGGAGCAAUCCAUGAGUAAAGUGGCGCACGGGUGAGUAACACGUGACUAACCUACCCUUGAGUGGGGGAUAACCUAGGGAAACCUGGGCUAAUACCGCAUAAUACCUACGGGUCAAAGGAGCAAUUCGCUUUGGGAGGGGGUCGCGGCCGAUUAGUUAGUUGGCAGGGUAAUGGCCUACCAAGACGAUGAUCGGUACCGGCCUGAGAGGGCGCACGGACACACUGGAACUGAAACACGGUCCAGACUCCUACGGGAGGCAGCAGUGGGGAAUUUUGCGCAAUGGGGGAAACCCUGACGCAGCAACGCCGCGUGGAGGAUGAAGUCCCUUGGGACGUAAACUCCUUUCGAUCGGGACGAUAAUGACGGUACCGGAAGAAGAAG
rnacentral:rRNA from 1 species